AAAACAGGUUUUACCAUGGAACGUGUCCAAAACAAAACAGGUUCACCACAGAACGUGUCCAAAACAAAACAGGUUUACCACGGAACGUGUCCAAAACAAAACAGGUUCACCACAGAACGUGUCCAAAACAAAACAGGUUCACCACAGAACGUGUCCAAAACGAAACAGGUUUACCACAGAACGUGUCCAAAACAAAACAGGUUUACCACGGAACGUGUCCAAAACGAAACGGGUUUUACUACGGAACGUGUCCAAAACGAAACGGGUUUUACCACGAAACGUGUCCAAAACAAAACAGGUUCACCACGGAACGUGUCCACAACAAAACGGGUUUUACCACGGAACGUGUCCAAAACAAAACAGGUUUACCACGGAACGUGUCCAAAAUAAACUUGUAUU